UACGUAGGGCGCAAGCGUUGUCCGGAAUUAUUGGGCGUAAAGAGCUCGUAGGCGGCUUGUCGCGUCGGUCGUGAAAGCCCGGGGCUUAACUCCGGGUCUGCAGUCGAUACGGGCAGGCUAGAGUUCGGUAGGGGAGAUCGGAAUUCCUGGUGUAGCGGUGAAAUGGGCAGAUAUCAGGAGGAACACAGGUGGCGAAGGCGGAUCUCUGGGCCGAUACUGACGCUGAGGAGCGAAAGCGUGGGGAGCGAAC
rnacentral:rRNA from 1 species